rnacentral:pre_miRNA from 1 species
UUAACCCAUUUAACAACUCAACCCAUCAAAUUAAAUGAGUUAUGGGUUGACCCAACCUAUUUAACAAAAUGAGUUGAGUCAACCCAUAACUCAUUUAACCCUAAACUCAUUUGAUUAUGAGU